rnacentral:lncRNA from 1 species
UAAGCCCUGCUCAGAAGUCAAGAGCAGCAGCGCCGCCGCUCCGUGCGGCCUUUCAAGCCGCAGCCGUUCCUUAUUCUUGUGUCUCGGCCUCUCUGGGUGCCCCCCGGACAAAGCCCCCGAAGCUCGGCCGCUCCCUUCCCGCUAAAUCCCCUUCGGGGUCAGUGCUUUACCAGCACCGGGCCGUGCGCCUCUCCAGCCAGCCGUGUGGCUCUUAAAGAGCCGCACCCCCCCACUCCGCCCCGCGCGCUCCUCCGACCCCCGCCUCCCCUCCCCUCUCCUCCGGAUCAAGCCCCCCACGCCGACGCCUGAGGUCCCUGCUGCCCCGAC